AAAAUUUUCCGGUAUGAUCUUUCUCUCUCUGCAGGAGGACGCCGGAAAAGCUUUGGGCUCGGGCGCACAUGCUAGGCUUUUCGGGCAUUCCGGCGGCGCAUGGACCGUAGGGCCGGGGAGGAUACGGCGGAGCCGCCGGAUGUCACCGGAACGUCGGCGACGGAGGAGGCCGCCCGGCCUGUGGCGGCGCCGAGCACCGGGGCCGCGCCGCGGGCGGGGGGGCGGAUCAUUCGGUGGGAUCGCUUCCUUCCAUGGCGGUUCCUCAGGGUCCUGCUCGUCGAGCAUGACGAUUCCACGCGCCAAAUCGUCACCGUCCUCCUAAAAAAAUGCAGCUACCAAGUCGUGGCAGUGGCCGACGGGCUCAGAGCGUGGACAAUCUUGAAGGAGGGGCAUUACAAGGUCGAUCUUGUGCUCACUGAGGUUAUGACGCCAUCGCUAUCCGGAAUCGACCUCCUAUCCAAAAUUAUGGGCAACGAUGUCUGCAAGAAUUUGCCCGUUAUCAUGAUGUCCUCGCACGACUCGAUGGGCAUAGUCUUCAACUGUAUGCUCAAAGGUGCUGCCGAUUUCCUCGUGAAGCCCGUGCGCAAGAAUGAGCUAAGGAAUUUGUGGCAGCACGUGUGGAGGAGACGAUGUUCUGGUAGUAGCGGAAAUUGCUUUGGCAAUGAAAUUCCUGGCCCGGGCAGGAUCGGUGCGAUUUCGGACAAUAACAUAGCUAGUAACCGUAUGAGUAUAAAUUCUGAUAACAGCCUGAAAACCGGACAAAGCUGUGAGAAGGGGAGUGAUACUCAGAGUUCUUGUGGGCAAUCUGACACUCCAAGCAGAGGACUUGAAGGUUUGCCUCAUGAGACAGAGGACAAGUCUCUCCAUGAUGAAGCACAGCUACAUGCAAGUAAACCUGAUUUGAAAUCGGAAAAGGAAUAUGCAGCUUCAACAAUUCAUUUGGUAGAUGAUGAUACGUCGAAAUCAUUUGAACAAAAAGUGUCACUCCCGAGUCAAGCAACUUCAUCCUCUAAACAGGUCCAAGGAAGCAAAUCUGGUGAUGAAUCUGCAUUUAUACUGGAGAAUGCAGGUUCCACCAGCUGUAAAGAGGGUUCUAAUGAUCCUGAAUUCGACAAUGAUCUUAAUGAUGGAUGCUCAAAGGAAGUCAUUGAUUUUGUUGUUGGAACUACUGGUCAACAAAAACACGAGUGCGAGGGCCCGGAUAAUGUUUCUCGUGUGGCUGGGCUUCUGGUUGGAGAAGAACAGUUCUUGAGUCAGAAUGAAAAUGCGCCUAAGGUUGUUGCCAAGCCAUGUUGGGAACUUCCCCUCAGAAGGCCGCUUUUUGGUAGCUUAGAUGAGCAAGAGUUUCAACACAAGCAUGUCCUAAACCAUUCCAAUGCCUCUGCAUUUUCUAGGUAUGGAGAUAAAGGAAAUCAUCAUGGUUACAUGCGGAAUUGUGACAGUGACAGACAAUUUGAUGCUAAUGUUGGUCCUGUUGAUUUUGCUUGUAAAGCAAUCAUCAAAUCGCCUGAAGGAAGUGCAUGUGAAGCUGUGGCAUCUUGUCAACAUGGUAAAGGGGAAAAUUUAGGCUUCUGUGUGGUUGGACCUUCAGUUGAUGACUCUGAUUCUAGUUGCAGAAUAACCAAAGAAGUAGUAUGCCCUCAUGCUCAAGUUGGUGUGGUACCCUUGCCUAUUCCAGUUGGAGCAAUUCCUUUCAACGGCUUGUGUACCAGCUAUGGUGCUCUGUUGCAGCCGAUUUUUUAUUCAGAAUCUGGUUUGGCAUGGCAUCAUCCUAUAGAUAAAAAGGUAAUGGAGAAAUAUGAUGUAAAGCAUGCUUAUUAUGGCGAGCUGCACGCUGAACAUGAGCAUCAUUCAGAUGACCAUAACCAAGGGCUAGUGGAACAAGAGGUUGCUCAAGACUCUGCAAUUGUUGUGGGCGGAAUACCUUCAUCUGCCACUGGUCUUGCUCGAAAUGCAAGUAGCAGAAGUGAUCCCACUGACUACGGAAGUAAUCAUAAUGUUGAAGAUGGAAGUGCAGCUGCUGACAAUGGUGCCAAUUUUGGAACUAAUAAUGUUGAUAUCUUUGAAGCCAGUAACAGUACGAUGAUGGAUCAUGAUCGUAGUACACAUCGAGAAGCUGCCUUGACUAAAUUUCGCCUAAAAAGAAAAAACAGAUGCUUUGAGAAGAGGGUCAGAUACUACAGCAGGAAGAAAUUAGCAGAGCAACGGCCACGGCUGAAAGGACAGUUUGUGCGUCAAACAGUUUCUGAGACGAAGAAAAAAGGGGCAAUUUCUGACGAAUGACUCAAAAGGGUCAUCCUAAAAUCAAUCGGAAACAUAUCUAGCUUAAAAAUUGUCUUCUGCGACUUGCCUGCAUGCAUCUUGGCUCCUGGCUGUUGAAACGUUUCAGCUUCUUAAAGAGUUUAGUUUCUCCACUGACAACCCUUUGCAAGAAGUCAUAGAUUUUCAAGGCUGCAAGCUGAUAUAAUCGGCUGAUGAAGAAGACCCCAGUCUGGUUAGAGGCUUAAAGCUUGUAGACUGUCUCUAUAGUUCCUGGCAUGUCCAAUCUGCAAGCAAAGGGUUUCUUUCUUCGUUGUUCUUGAGGAAGGGCCUUCGUGUUGAAAUUUACUUUUGUAGUUUCAGCGGCGUCCAGAUUUUUGUGUUCAUAUGUUUUUGAACCAGGGUUUCUCAUCGCAGAUUCAAGAUUUUUUGGCAUGUACGUGUUUCCUAUUUCAUGCACACACACACACACACACUCUUGUAUGCACCUAUUUCCUACUAUAGAAAACUAUAAGCUUAGAUUGUCUUUUUCUUUAUUCGGUAAACUUUCUAGAUGUGUUCAGCAUAUUUUUCCGGACAGAAACUAAUAGUAUAGCUUUUUCACUCGAGAAGUAUAUAGCUUUUUCA